rnacentral:rRNA from 1 species
UACAGAGGGGGCAAGCGUUGUUCGGAAUUACUGGGCGUAAAGGGCGCGUAGGCGGCCCGCUAAGUCGAACGUGAAAUCCCUGGGCUCAACCCAGGAACUGCGUCCGAGACUGGAAGGCUUGAAUCCGGGAGAGGGGUGUGGAAUUCCAGGUGUAGCGGUGAAAUGCGUAGAUAUCUGGAGGAACAUCGGUGGCGAAGGCGGCAUCCUGGACCGGUAUUGACGCUGAGGCGCGAAAGCCAGGGGAGCAAAGCGGG